rnacentral:rRNA from 1 species
AUUGAACGCUGGCGGCAGGCCUAACACAUGCAAGUCGAGCGGUAGAGAGAAGCUUGCUUCUCUUGAGAGCGGCGGACGGGUGAGUAAUGCCUAGGAAUCUGCCUGGUAGUGGGGGAUAACGUUCGGAAACGGACGCUAAUACCGCAUACGUCCUACGGGAGAAAGCAGGGGACCUUCGGGCCUUGCGCUAUCAGAUGAGCCUAGGUCGGAUUAGCUAGUUGGUGAGGUAAUGGCUCACCAAGGCGACGAUCCGUAACUGGUCUGAGAGGAUGAUCAGUCACACUGGAACUGAGACACGGUCCAGACUCCUACGGGAGGCAGCAGUGGGGAAUAUUGGACAAUGGGCGAAAGCCUGAUCCAGCCAUGCCGCGUGUGUGAAGAAGGUCUUCGGAUUGUAAAGCACUUUAAGUUGGGAGGAAGGGCAGUUACCUAAUACGUGAUUGUUUUGACGUUACCGACAGAAUA